GACAGAGGUGCCAAGCGUUAGGCGGAAUCACUGGGCUUAAAGCGUGUGUAGGUGGAGUGCUAAGUCCCUUGUGAAAUCCCACGGCUCAACCGUGGAACUGCUCGGUAUACUGGUUCUCUUGAGCUAUCUAGGGGUCACUGGAACAAACGGUGGAGCGGUGAAAUGCGUAGAUAUCGUUUGGAACGCCAAAGGUAAAAACAGGUGACUGGAGAUAUGCUGACACUGAGACACGAAAGCCAGGGGAGCAAACGGG
rnacentral:rRNA from 1 species